GCAAUUACCCAGCAGUUCACGCAUAUAUGUGAUUUAAAUUAGGAAAUCCAGCAAUUCACAAAUCUUUAGUCAAACCAUUGUAAUAUUCUUACCGUUAGUUUAGCCUUAGAAUGCAAAUAAACUCCUGAAUUAGUGGAGUAAGUUACGCACAUCAAGGCUGUAAAUUAGCUUUGUCCUAUUGUAUAUAUUGUAAAGCAGAAGGCAAAGAAAUUACGAACCACAACCAACAAUCUAAAUACAAUUCACAACACCUCAUUCAAAAAAAAAACCUAAAGCCACACCAAAUAUUGGUAAAAUUAGUACAAUGAAAAAUCAAAUUCAAAGCUAAACAAAUCAGUCCAAAUUAGACGAAAUAUCAGUAUGAAUAGUAAGGCUCCCAUCAGAGCGCAAAAGAACGUAAGCAGAAAAAUCUUCACCACCACAACGGCGACGAUGGCAUCGGCGUCAACGGAAGUAGCAGCCGGAAAGCCACUGCAAGGGGAAGAAAAUCACCAUCUUUGUUCGAACAUACGACUUGCGCAACACCGAUGUUAAAUACCCCAUCACAAUUUAAGGACAAAUUAAUAUCCACCAAGAUACAGAAGAUCAAAAGAAUUGGUACAUCUCCGUCCAGAUCUGGAGAUUUGAACCACACACGAAAACUCGGGUAAGAUAGAAAUUCAGAGAUGUGGGUAGUUUUUCCAUUUUUGCAGAUGUAAUCAUGCAUAUUGAGUGAAAAUUAUAGGGAGGAAGAGAGAGAAUGAGUGAGUAACUAUGGUUUGGUGGUUUAGUUUUGUGGUUCUUUUAGGAAAUUGGUGGUUUAGUUUUGUGGUUCUUUUAGGAAAUGAGAGAGACGUGGUAAGCAGAGUUGAGUUGUUGACCAUACAGUUGUGAGGCAAUUACCGGUAAUUGCUUUUCAUUUCUUCAAGUAAAUUCUCAUUUUUUAUUUUUAUCUUUACUUUGUGGUAAAGAUCAGUAUCCAAUAAAAUAACUUCCUGGCUUUUGGAUUUUUUUUAAUUUAAUGAUAAUGAUAUUAUUGUCUGUAUUGUAUUAUGGUGAAAACUUCAUCCAUGUGUUUAUUUAGCUUUCUAAGCUUUUCUUCCUAUAAGGCAAAGAGUAACAAUGUAGUAUCUCUAUUAUAUAAGCCAGCUCCUGAGGGCUUUUAAGUAAAUUAACUUUUCGUGUCCCCAAAGAAAUUUACAAUAACACCUCACACUUUCACCCAGCUACAAGUACGUUGUAUAAACAGAUUUUGUAAUUUUGAAAAUUGAGCUACAUCCCUCUAAUCUCUCCCCCAAAUCAGGAAAGGGAUUUAAAAAUCCCUAUAAUCUCUCCCUUUAACCUCUCAGCUCACGUCAUUAAAGAAAAAUAACCAAAUAAAAUUACAAAUUGAUUACAGUUUCCAAAACAAAAUCCCUACAAUCUCUCACCUCUCACGUCAGGGAAAAAAAUCAAACAAAAUUAUAAAUUGAUUACAUUUUCUAAAACUACUAAUUAUCUUUUUUCUCAUUCAUCAAAUCACUGUAAACUGAGUUCCAUUAGAGAGUUCGUUGAUAGCAAGCUCCACCACCGCCAAUACAGGUAAGUACACUCUUCUCAUUGAUUCAUGCACAAAAUAAAAACAAAAUUUUGUGUUAAUGGAAAUAUUCGACUGAAAAAUAUAUGACUUGCAUCGAUUUGUAAUUUUAUAGAGAAAACGGGUCAUUGCAACCUAAUUGAUUAUUCAUUAUUUUUUUUGCAGAUGAAAUUGGUUAUUGCAAUGAAAUUGAUUAUUAAUUAAUUUUUAAUUAUUCAUGAAAUGUGAAAUAAAUAAUGGUUUUUGCAGAUUUUAAAGUUCGGUUUUUAAUUAAUUAUUUCAGAUUUUUAUUCAUGCUUUUAGCUUUUUCUUAACACCAUCUGAUUAAAUGUCCAUAUCACUCAAACAAAAUUAUAAAUUGAUUACAAAAUUUAUAAAUUGAUUACCAACAUCUGAUUAAAUGUCCACAUCCGUCAAACCAAUUUAUAAAUUUAUGAUAUUGUUUAUAAUCAAUUUAUCAAUUUUCAGAGUGCUUAAUUUAAUUUGACAGAUUAUAAUUUGAUUAAAAUCAUGAAAAUCUGAAAUAAAUAAUGGUUUUUGCAGGUUUUACGAUUUGAAGUUCACCACGCAUACAAUUACCAAUGACACAAGUUUCAUCCCGGGAAGAAUGUUGGAAUUGGCAAGGACCAUACAAUCUUUGCUCUAAUUGAUGGAUUAGUGAAAUUUGAGAAGUAUGGUCCUGACAAGAAAAAGGUGAGUGUUUAUCCACGAGAAAUACAGCCUGAAAACCCCAACAGCUACAAAGCAAGAAGAGAAGGAUAUUCUUUUCAAUCACAGCUAAUCAUGGCAUCUGAUGCCACUGAUAAUGCUGAUGAAAGUGUAAUCUGCUGAUAACCAAGUUUUUUUUGAAAAGAUUUGCAUUCUACUUCCCUCUUUUUGGCUUGGUUUUCCAUCUAUCUUUUGUAACUAAGUUUUUCACCUCCUUUAAAGUUUACUUCCAAAGUCUAUGUAGAUCAUUUGCACCAAAAGCGAAUCUGUACUAUUUGUGAUAUAUAGCUAGCUAAAAUUAGUGAAAUCAAUCCUUAAACUAAACCCUAAAUAACCAACAAUUUUCACAAACCAGUAAUUUUCACAAACCAGUAAUUUUCUCAAACAAACCCUAUGAAAACCCAAUAAUUUUACCAAACACUUAAAGAUAAUGAGUAUACACCAUGAAACAAUCGAAAAAAAAACAUAUAAAAUCAAAUGCAAAGUAUUUCUGCUCACCAUAUCUGCUAAAGCGUGCGAGAUCCAAGGGUUUCUAAUCGCCAUUUUUGUUCCUCAUUAGUUGAUUGAACUUGAUAAAACCCAGAAUUAAUUAAAUUACUUUUAUGAGUUUUCUCCAAAUUUGGAAAAUUGAGGUUGAUUUUUUCUGUGGUUUCCAACAAAUCGAGAAAAUAUGAAGUGAAAGAGAAGAGGGAAAGGAGGGAGACGAUCCAGAAGUUGAUCCAGAAAUUGAGAGAGGGAAAAGAGAGAGACGAUCCAGAAAAUGGAUGCAGGAAAUGAGAGAGAAAGGAGAUAGACGAUAGGAGAUAAAGAGAUGAGAGAGAGAAGGACAAACGGGAGAUAAGAAAGAGGGAUCCAGAAAGAACCAUUUGUGAAUAAAAGGUACUCCCUCCGUCCCGGAAUACUCGACCCGGUUUGACCGGCACAGAGUUUAAGGGACUUGAAUUGACUUAUUUAAUUUAAUAGGUAGUAGUUGAUAGUGGGGUAUUAUUUUAAUGUAGUUAGGGGGAGGUGGGUUAAGAGGUGGGGUUGGGGGAGAGUAGGGGUUGAAUUUUUAAUUAUUUUUUGUAUGGAGUAGGGGGUAUGUGGGUUAAUAGGAGUGGAGUGAGAAAUAAUAUAAUAUUGUUGGAAUAUUUCCAUUUUUAGAAAUAGGUCAAGUAUUAAGGGACGGUCCGAUAAGGAAAACAGGUCAAGUAUUCCGGGACGGGGGAGUAUUUGAAAAAAAAAAUCCAAUUAAUUAUAUUCAAUUUAAAAUAAAUUAAAGUUAUUUCUUUUGGUGACAAACAUAAUAAUAAAAUCUCUAAUCAUUCUACAUUAAUUUAAAGCCUUUUAAAUAAAAUCUAUUUUAAUUUAAAUAAAAUCUUAAAAUAAUAAUUUUAAAAAAUUAAGUUACGAAAAAUUUAAUUAUCCAUUUCCAAUUUAUCAUCAUUUUUUUAAAAAUUUAUGAGUUUGUUACUGAUUUAGAAAAAAAGAUAUUGAAAGUAGAAAAUGUAGGGUAUCAAAAUAAAAUAUUUAAUUUAUUAAAGAAUUAAAAUUUCGUUUUAGCGGAAAAGAAAAACAAAAGGCAUCAAAAUAAAAUAUUUAAUUUAUUACAUAAUGAAAACUUUCGUUUUAGCGGAAAAGAAAAACAAAAGGAAUCAAAAUAAAAUAUUCAUUUUAUUUUAUAUUUUAACUUAAAGCUUCCGUUUUAGUGGAAAAGAAAAUACUUGAUUUUAAUCUAAAUAAAACCAUAAAAUAAUCUUUUUAAAACAAAUUAAUUAGUGACUAAGUUACAUUAUCUACUCUCCAAUAUAAGUCGUACAAAAUUGUGGUGUUUAAUUUACGAGUUUGUUACUGAUUUUGAUAGGGAUAUUAUGAUAGAGUCAGUAAUUGGUCAAUUGAGUUAUAUCAAAGAUAAUGUCGGUUAUUAUGACC